GACGUAGGGCGCGAGCGUUGUCCGGAUUUAUUGGGCGUAAAGAGCUCGUAGGCGGCUUGUCGCGUCGACUGUGAAAACCCGCGGCUCAACUGCGGGCCUGCAGUCAAUACGGGCAGGCUAGAGUUCGGUAGGGGAGACUGGAAUUCCUGGUGUAGCGGUGAAAUGCGCAGAUAUCAGGAGGAACACCGGUGGCGAAGGCGGGACUCUGGGCCGAUACUGACGCUGAGGAGCGAAAGCGUGGGGAGCGAACAGG
rnacentral:rRNA from 1 species